rnacentral:rRNA from 1 species
UACGUAGGUGGCAAGCGUUGUCCGGAAUUAUUGGGCGUAAAGCGCGCGCAGGCGGUCCUUCAAGUCUGAUGUGAAAGCCCACGGCUCAACCGUGGAGGGUCAUUGGAAACUGGGGGACUUGAGUGCAGAAGAGGAGAGCGGAAUUCCACGUGUAGCGGUGAAAUGCGUAGAGAUGUGGAGGAACACCAGUGGCGAAGGCGGCUCUCUGGUCUGUAACUGACGCUGAGGCGCGAAAGCGUGGGGAGCGAACAGG